GACGGAGGAGGCAAGCAUUGUCCGGAAUUAUUGGGCGUAAAGAACACGUAGGCGGUUUAUCAAGUCAUAUGUGAAAACCUUAGGCUUAACUUAAGGAUUGCAAAUGAUACUGGUAAGCUAGAGUACAGUAGAGGAAAGUGGAAUUCCUGGUGUAGCGGUGAAAUGCGCAGAUAUCAGGAAGAACACCAGUGGCGAAAAGCGGCUUUCUGGACUGUUACUGACGCUGAGGUGUGAAAGCUAGGGGAGGCGAACAGGAUUAGAUACCCU
rnacentral:rRNA from 1 species